UACAGAGACUGCAAGCGUUAUUCGGAUUCACUGGGCGUAAAGGGCGCGCAGGCGGGUGUGUGAGUCAGGGGUGAAAGCCCGGGGCUUAACCCCGGAAUUGCGCCUGAAACUACAUGACUAGAGCAUUGGAGAGGGUAGCGGAAUUCACGGUGUAGCAGUGAAAUGCGUAGAUAUCGUGAGGAACACCAGAGGCGAAGGCGGCUACCUGGACAAUUGCUGACGCUCAGGCGCGAAAGCGUGGGGAGCAAAAGGG
rnacentral:rRNA from 1 species